rnacentral:rRNA from 1 species
AGUACGUGAAACUGCUUAGAGGUAAAGCCUGAUGAACCUGAAUAAUCCAUUAAUAGAAAAUUCAUCGCCAAUGUUAUAUUAUGAAAUUUUUCAUAUUAUAGAAAUGGUGUGCAUUUUUUCUAUAAAGGACAUUGUAAUCGGUUGAUUAAUAAAGUUUAUCAAAAGAUUCGUUAUAAAUAGAUUAUUCUAUUUAAGUUUUUUUAUUAAAAUUUAAAAUUGAAUAAAUUUUUAUGAAUUUGAUAAACUAUUGACCGAUUUCAUUAUAAUAAUGUAUUAAAUUUCUUCGGAAAUUUUAUAAUAAAUUUGUUAUAUAUUUUUUUCGGAAUGUAUAUAAUUAAUUUUAUUGUAUGCAUUUUUAUGAUUUACAAUGGUUAUAAAUUCAGGAUACCUUCGGGACCCGUCUUGAAACACGGACCAAGGAGUCUAACAUAUGUGCAAGUCGUUGAGUAAUUUAUAUUAAACUCAAAGGCAUAAUUAACUUGACUGUUUUAAUGGGAUUAAUUUAUAUAUAUAUUUUCUUCAAGAAAAAAAUAUUGUAAAUUCAAUCCCAGGGCGUUCUAUAUAGUUAUGCAUAAUGAUAUUUUAAUAUUAUUUAUGUCUCUAACUA